rnacentral:rRNA from 1 species
GAUGAACGCUGGCGGCGUGCUUAACACAUGCAAGUCGAACGAAGCACUUAUCUUUGAUUCUUCGGAUGAAGAGGUUUGUGACUGAGUGGCGGACGGGUGAGUAACGCGUGGGUAACCUGCCUCAUACAGGGGGAUAACAGUUAGAAAUGACUGCUAAUACCGCAUAAGACCACAGAGCCGCAUGGCUCAGUGGGAAAAACUCCGGUGGUAUGAGAUGGACCCGCGUCUGAUUAGGUAGUUGGGGGGGUAACGGCCUACCAAGCCGACGAUCAGUAGCCGACCUGAGUGGGUGACCGGCCACAUUGGGACUGAGACACGGCCCAAACGCCUACGGGAGGCAGCAGUGGGGAAUAUUGCACAAUGGGUGAAACCCUGAUGCAGCGACGCCGCGUGAGCGAAGAAGUAUUUCGGUAUGUAAAGCUCUAUCAGCAGGGAAGAAAAUGACGGUACCUGACUAAGAAGCACCGGCUAAAUACGUGCCAGCCGCCGCAGUAA